CACCAGAGGGCGCAAUAAGACCUGCUAACUGCUUAAACCCGGAAAUAACAGCCGGCCCCCUCU
rnacentral:tRNA from 1 species